AUCCAGGAGUGAGGGACGCUGGAGUUCUUGCUCUGUGAGAAGGGCUUGACAGAAGCUGGGUGGAGCGAGAACCUAAGAUGGCCUCAAAACUCAAGCCCAGGCUAAGUGGAAGUUGCAUAGCUUGUAUUCGUGUCUGUGUGCUGAGAGUUGCUGAGGGACUCCAGGGGGCAGCGCUGGGAGCUGCUGCUCUGGAAGAAGAGUGAGGCUGAAAAGGAGGCAUUGAAGAAAUGGUGUUUGCCAUUGUUUUGUGGGCCAUUAGUUGUUUGGGACAUUGACACCCUGGAAGGGAUGGAACUAAAGGGUGACCUGGCUGGCAGGCCGAGUCACCACCACUGAAGUCCCGGGGAAAGAGAGGCAGAGGCUCGAAGUGCUGUCCUUUUUUGUAUGGCAAGAGAAGUCCAGAUCAGUGAGUUGAUGGAGCAUUUCCUGCAGGUGUGACGGGGUGGGGCUGGCUGAGCCCAGAACAAUCCCUUCACCCCUUGUUGCCCAGUGUGGGGUUUGUACACCCCAUCACAAGGUGUGAUUGCUGUAUGGGCUGAUUGAAAUGUGCCAGCCUGAAUUAGCUACCCCAGGUUUUAGAGAACACUUCUUUUACGUGGAAAUACUUGGUCAAUUGACAGUGGCUGUGUAACACCUAUGUCAGAGACGUCUAAGUCAGGAAUAGCGGGGUGAAAUUGAAAAAGGGAAACGUAAGGCCAAAGAUGAAGAAAAACGUCCUGACUGUGAGAUGCAUCGGCAGAGGACUAGUCUCCCAGGGAGAAAUGUUGGAGGCCUCAUUGCUUGGAACUUUUCAAACCAGAUUGGACACAGGACUCGCAGAUAUACGGGUGUUGCUAAUGAGCAAUGAAAGGCACUCAGCCCAAUCUGAGCCUGAACAUGCCGGUUCAAAGUCACCCCAGAUGUGUGUGUGACGUCAUUGACUGCUGGGGGGUGCUUAGACCUUCCUCUGAAGCAUCUAGUCCUGACAGGAAGCUGCUCUUGUUCUUAAGGCACUGGACAUGGGUCUAGGUUCAAUUCCUGGGUCGUCCAGAGACUCCCUGGGGGACCUUGUGGAAGUCACUCCAUUUCUCCGUUCCUCAUCUGAAAAACGGGGCUGAAGACAGUGCUUCCUUCUCGGCAGAUGCUUCUACUGGACUCAGUGUUCUUCGCUUCCACUCCAGAUCUGCUGUACAGGGUUGCUGUGCGCUGCCAGGCCGUUGUCGUAUUCAUCUCAAGAGUGGGACAGAACAAAUCAUUUGCCUUGAGUCACGCAGUCAAUGAAUGCAGGACGCUCCUGCGGCUUGUGAAGGAUCAGUCAGCAGGGGAUGACUUCCUAAGAUUUAUUCAAGAAGUGGUUGCAGGUUUCCCCCAGCAGCGCUGCCCAAGAGCUAGAUGCGUUUCUGAUGGACGAGUCUGCCUGUCUGCAGUGUUGUUGUGGUUGUGUUGGUCCCAGAAUAUUAGAGAGACAAGGUGGGCGAUAUCUUUUAUUCGAUUGGACCAACUUCUGCUGGUGACAGAGACAAACUUUCAAGCUACAUCGAGCUCUCCUUCGGGUCUGGGACAGGUACUCCCAGCAUCACAGCUAAAUACAAGUGGAACAGAUUAUUUAGCACAGGUAGUGAGCGGCACAUAUUCCAAGGGACCAUUCAGGCCCGUUAAGACCUCUGCAGUCACAGGACAAAUAAGGGGGGGGGGGGGGUUAGUGAGUUACAGAUUGUUGUAAUAAGCCAUAAAUCCAGUGUCUCUGUUCAGUCCAUGAUGUUUAGUGUCUUGCAGACCUACGAAUUUAAGCUCCCAGUCUCACCUUUUUGAAGGAAUUGUGCAGGUUUCCUUUGAGGACGAGGCCUGAGAGGUCAGCUAUAGAGCGAUCGCUUUGUGACAAGUGCUCACCCACAGGUGACAGGGUGUUUUUGUCUUUUAUCAUUUUUCAGUGUGAGUUCACUGGCGAGCCUAGCGAUUGUCUGGUUUCACCCAUGUAUUGUUAUUGGGGCAUUUAGUGCACUGGAGGAGGUACACCCCAUGUUGGGAUAGGCAUGUGUAGGACCCAUGGCUCUUGAAAGGUGUGUUGGGGUGGGAGUUGAUCAUUGUAGAAGUAGCGA